rnacentral:rRNA from 1 species
CGAAUGCUGACAUAAGUAACGAUAAAGCGGGUGAAAAGCCCGCUCGCCGGAAGACCAAGGGUUCCUGUCCAACGUUAAUCGGGGCAGGGUGAGUCGACCCCUAAGGCGAGGCCGAAAGGCGUAGUCGAUGGGAAACAGGUUAAUAUUCCUGUACUUGGUGUUACUGCGAAGGGGGGACGGAGAAGGCUAUGUUGGCCGGGCGACGGUUGUCCCGGUUUAAGCGUGUAGGCUGGUUUUCCAGGCAAAUCCGGAAAAUCAAGGCUGAGGCGUGAUGACGAGGCACUACGGUGCUGAAGCAACAAAUGCCCUGCUUCCAGGAAAAGCCUCUAAGCAUCAGGUAACAUCAAAUCGUACCCCAAACCGACACAGGUGGUCAGGUAGAGAAUACCAAGGCGCUUGAGAGAACUCGGGUGAAGGAACUAGGCAAAAUGGUGCCGUAACUUCGGGAGAAGGCACGCUGAUAUGUAGGUGAAGCGACUUGCUCGUGGAGCUGAAAUCAGUCGAAGAUACCAGCUGGCUGCAACUGUUUAUUAAAAACACAGCACUGUGCAAACACGAAAGUGGACGUAUACGGUGUGACGCCUGCCCGGUGCCGGAAGGUUAAUUGAUGGGGUCAGCGCAAGCGAAGCUCUUGAUCGAAGCCCCGGUAAACGGCGGCCGUAACUAUAACGGUCCUAAGGUAGCGAAAUUCCUUGUCGGGUAAGUUCCGACCUGCACGAAUGGCGUAAUGAUGGCCAGGCUGUCUCCACCCGAGACUCAGUGAAAUUGAACUCGCUGUGAAGAUGCAGUGUACCCGCGGCAAGACGGAAAGACCCCGUGAACCUUUACUAUAGCUUGACACUGAACAUUGAGCCUUGAUGUGUAGGAUAGGUGGGAGGCUUGGAAGUGUGGACGCCAGUCUGCAUGGAGCCGACCUUGAAAUACCACCCUUUAAUGUUUGAUGUUCUAACGUUGACCCGUAAUCCGGGUUGCGGACAGUGUCUGGUGGGUAGUUUGACUGGGGCGGUCUCCUCCUAAAGAGUAACGGAGGAGCACGAAGGUUGGCUAAUCCUGGUCGGACAUCAGGAGGUUAGUGCAAUGGCAUAAGCCAGCUUGACUGCGAGCGUGACGGCGCGAGCAGGUGCGAAAGCAGGUCAUAGUGAUCCGGUGGUUCUGAAUGGAAGGGCCAUCGCUCAACGGAUAAAAGGUACUCCGGGGAUAACAGGCUGAUACCGCCCAAGAGUUCAUAUCGACGGCGGUGUUUGGCACCUCGAUGUCGGCUCAUCACAUCCUGGGGCUGAAGUAGGUCCCAAGGGUAUGGCUGUUCGCCAUUUAAAGUGGUACGCGAGCUGGGUUUAGAACGUCGUGAGACAGUUCGGUCCCUAUCUGCCGUGGGCGCUGGAGAACUGAGGGGGGCUGCUCCUAGUACGAGAGGACCGGAGUGGACGCAUCACUGGUGUUCGGGUUGUCAUGCCAAUGGCACUGCCCGGUAGCUAAAUGCGGAAGAGAUAAGUGCUGAAAGCAUCUAAGCACGAAACUUGCCCCGAGAUGAGUUCUCCCUGAGACUUUAAGUCUCCUGAAGGAACGUUGAAGACGACGACGUUGAUAGGCCGGGUGUGUAAGCGCAGCGAUGCGUUGAGCUAACCGGUACUAAUGAACCGUGAGGCUUAACCUUAC